rnacentral:lncRNA from 1 species
AUGCAUAUAUGUGCAUUCACUGUUAAACAAUUUUGAAAUGGCUGCCGCUUAGUGGCAAUUGGGGGAAGGGUGACAUCCGCUAUUGCUUGCAAUGGCAAUUCUAGUUAUUUUUAUUCUUCCACACAUUUUGUCCACGCUAUUUCUCGGAAUUGAAUGGACCAAUGUUGAUGGAAUUAUACCACAAUGUGGAACACCAUGUGAAGUUGUGCAGCAGACUUUGGCAUGUGCAAGAUGGCCGCCGUUACCAUGGAAACAGAACAAAUGUAAAAAAUAUUUUUUUGGUUUUUGGUGAAUAAUUUGAAUAUUCCUGAACUGAAAAUCAUCAAAUUUUUAUAUAUUGUAGGUGUCCACCAUAUACAGGUUUGAGAUGAUUUUGGGAAUCUUUGGAACUACUAUAUUGCCAUGGAAACUAAAUAUGUUUAGCAUUAAACCCUAUGGGGAAAAUCUUAAAGUAGUAUUUAAACUCUUAAUAUGGUAUAUCCAACCAUUAAAACUUUAAUGGUAUGUUCCUUAUCAUGUGCCAAUGUGGUAGGUGUCUUUGGAAUUUUGGAAAUGGUCACCGUUACCAUGGAAACAGCAGAAAUGUCCAAAAAUUUCAAAUUGGUCCAAACUUUCUGAAAAUUGACAGACAUGUUAAGUGGCACAUCAAGAGUUGGUAUUCGACUUUGGAAUUUCCAAAAUGGCCGCCGUUUCCAUGGAAACAACACAAAAAUCAAAAAUUUCAAAAUGCUCCAAAAUUGAUGAAAUUUUACAACAACGUUGAUAGACAUCUGUAAAUGCGCUCUUUAAUUUUGGAAAUUUCAAAAUGGCUGCCUUUUCGCCUGGCAAUGGGGGGACGAGGGUGCCAUCCGUUAUUGCUAGCAAUUACAAAUCUAGUUAUUAUUAUUUUUCUUGCAACAAAUUUUGUCCAGGUGAUUUCUCGAAAUCCAAUGGACCAAUGUUGAUGGAACUCUACUAUAGUAAGGACCCCAAGGUGCAGAGUUGCAGGAAGCAUGGAAUGGUUCAAGAUGGCUACCGUUUCCAUGGAAACAGAAC